rnacentral:lncRNA from 1 species
GGUUGGUUCCAUGUUUAACAAAUGGAAAUGAGAAUUUGGACAUCAUGGCUCUCCUACUCUGCGUGGGUAUAAAGGGGUCCUCUCUAUCUAGAGAUAGUCAAAGCACAGGUUUCAACACGUUGUAUCAAAUGCAUUUUCAAAGCGCACAAUGGUUUUUCUAAAUACUUACAGAUUCCAUGAAAGAGAAGUCUAUUCUUUCAAAUGAGCUAACCAGGAUAAUCAUUGUCCCCAAAGGCAAACCUUUAAAGUAAAUAGAUCAUUAAGUCAUCACUUGUGGAAAUGAGUUUUAGGGAAGGGAUUGAGCGUUGGAACAUGACUUUCAUCCAGAUAUCUAAAAGCAUAAUAGAAUGCAUAAUUAGCUCUGAGCUUCAUGAAUUUGCCUUCUAAAAUUACAUAGAUGAUUAAUGGGAAGACAAAAAAGUGGGCUUUCACAAACUCUAGUAAUAAUAAGAACUGAAAAAGAAUAAUUCACUGCUGAUAAUUCAGGACCUGCAAAGCAGUACAAUAGAGCAAUGUGGGCUAUAGAUGAGCCCUCCCCACUGUGUGUCCAUACCUGUGCCAUCCACUGCACCCUAUGCCAACCAUGUCCCGAGAGUUCCAAUCACCUGUGUGGCCCAGAGGUACAUUCCCAACCUUAAGCAGCCAUUCUAUAAAUAAUUCAGUGUUUAUUGGUCACAAGAGAAGUAACAGCCUUAGUGAAAAUUCUAUCACCAUAUAUCCAUAGCUUUCUACCAGACGUCAACUGAUGAUGGCCAUACCAAGCUGUUCCUGGGCAAUAUUUUCCACAUAAUGAGGGACAAAUGGAAAGCAACCUCUUUUCUCCAUGGUCAAUUGUCGUCCUUGUUAUAUAUGUGUCACUUAGCUGGGGUAGGGGAAGGUCAGGAGAAGAAACCUACACAAACAUAACAUUUUCAUAAGUGUCAACUCUCAGAUCACCGCAUAGCAUUAAAGGUUCUGAUUGAAAUUUAAUUAUAUGAUGUAGCUGAUUACAAUAACUAAAAUAGUAUCACAGAAGAUGCAAUUAAAAUUGUUAUGGAAACAAUUUUUGAAAUAGUUCAAAAUGCAAGGACGUUUGAGGAUGUUAACAAUUUAGAGCUGCUAAUAAGAGGUCAGGCUACAAAGGCUCUUUGAAAGAUAAUUGUCUUUUCUUUUCUUUUUUUUUUUUUUUUUGCAGUAACAAUACCAAGAUAUUUCUCACAUUCACAGUAUAAAAAGUAGGUAAAGCUAUCAAUAUUUUUGCUGCAUUGUUUGAAACUGCACAUAUAGAACUAAAUACACCAAUUGUUCCAUGAUCUAGAACAUAUAUUUAGAAAACCAAGCCCUUCUAGGCCUGGAUAAAUAUACAAAAUGUAACAUUGUCUCUGUUAACCAAUUAUAGAAAAACAUGCAAAAUCUAAUGUUUUCUGAAACAAUUAGUACUGUUUAAGCAUUUUCCCUCAUGUGGGGAGUGAGUAGGCACAUGAUCAGGCUUGCAGCCUAUCUGUUUUGUUAAAAUUCAUAGAAUCAUUUCUGGGAUAGAGAUUCUGUUAUGCUUUGAUAUGUAUACUUAAGUAUAUAUAUUUUCACAUGUAAAUAAUUCCAUAUUUAGAAAAUAGUUUAGUUAUCAGAUAUGUAUUAAACAUGUACUGUUCAUAGAGUUAGAAUUCAGACUGUUGUGGUUCUGGGGUGGUGGGAGGGUAGAUCAGGGUAUGGAAAUGCGACAUUGCCAGAUAUAAAGCUCUUCCCUAUAGCUGAUCAACAGUGUCACUGUGGACGUAAGAUGCAUACGCAAAACAAUUAAGAAAGAAGAUCUCAUUAGACUGCCAUACAUACAAAGAUGAAAGUAAAAAUCUUACACUGUGUACUAUAAUUGGUUUCAGGUCAGUAAAGAGAAAAGCUCUCUGACCUAUCCAAAGAUGGACUAGACUGCCUCAGGAAGCAGUGGGCACCCAGUGAUUCAGGGAGUGACAUCUGCACAGGCAGAGAAGCAGUUAGAAGCCAAUCCUGUGUGCUAAUAACAACCAGAUGGCUUGGAAGUAUCAGAGAGACUGUGCCAAAGAGCAAGAAGAAAUGAGAUAGCUAAAAGAGAAAAAGGUCAGAUGAAGACAGAAUAUUAACUCUUAGGAUAAAAGCUUUAUAUUUGAUACAGCAAACACUAGAAAGUUACUAACUGCUCUUAAAUAAAGGAGAAAAGCAUGGUGACAGUGUUUGAGGAGCAUUAUGCUAAUGAUUCUGUAUGGCCUAGAACCGAAGAGGGCAAGAUUUCAAAGGCUACAUCUCUUAACGCAGUAGCACAUUUGGUGAGUGGCUACAGAAAAGAGAGAAGAAGCAAUGGGUAAUGCAAGCCAAGAGAUGAGAAUACAAGUAACAAAUCAAUGUAUUUUAUGUUAUCAUGUUAGUAUUAAAUAUGACAAAGAAAAAUGUAGAAAAGAAUUUCUGUUUCCAUAAUAACAGGUAGAGUGCCCAAGGCUUCAGUUUUCCCUUAACGAGAUCACAAACAUGUUAUAUUAGAACAAUCUAGGUUCAUUGGUUAAGCCAAGUAUGACAGGGUACCAUCAUGGAUUCAAAACUUACACAGUCACUAUAACUAUUUAAAAAAUUGAGAAAAAAAAAAAACAAGAAACAUUAAGUUGUUCAUCGGAAUGAAAGAUUGGCCAACCAUUGUGAAAAUGCAUAACACUGUCACAAAUGGUGUUGGUUAAAAAUUGUUGUGAAAUACAGAACCACAAAUUAAAAAUCAACCGAAAAACAUAUGUCUGAUUUUAGUCAUACCACUUUUGAAUUUAAGGAAAAAGGUAUUUUGUAAUCUACUUGGUGUACUGAUAAUUUAUAUUUUAAAUAAGAAAAUGAUUGUUAUAGUAUGUCUUAGAUAUAUUUAACCGAGCACAUAAAUUAUUCUCAAAUACAUUUAUAGAGAAUAUUAAUGCAGUUUUUACUUAUUUUACAAAUUGUCACUUUCAGAAAUUUCUUAUGCUGAAUAGAUUUGCAUAGUAUAAAUUCCUCAAAAUUUUUUUAGAGAUUUAUGGGGGAUCAAGUCCCACUUUGGACUCCUCUCAAGGAGCCCGCUUCUCCCUCUGCCUAUGUCUCUCCUCUCUGUCUCUCAUGAACAAAUAA